rnacentral:rRNA from 1 species
AUACGUAGGGUGCGAGCGUUGUCCGGAAUUACUGGGCGUAAAGAGCUCGUAGGUGGUUUGUCGCGUCGUCUGUGAAAUUCCGGGGCUUAACUCCGGGCGUGCAGGCGAUACGGGCAUAACUUGAGUACUGUAGGGGAGACUGGAAUUCCUGGUGUAGCGGUGAAAUGCGCAGAUAUCAGGAGGAACACCGGUGGCGAAGGCGGGUCUCUGGGCAGUAACGGACGCUGAGGAGCGAAAGCAUGGGUAGCGAACAGGAUUAGAUACCCUGGUAGUCCAUGCCGUAAACGGUGGGCGCUAGGUGUAGGGGUCUUCCACGACUUCUGUGCCGUAGCUAACGCAUUAAGCGCCCCGCCUGGGGAGUACGGCCGCAAGGCUAAAACUCAAAUGAAUUGACGGGG